rfam:Myotis brandtii contig178418, whole genome shotgun sequence.
AGAGGUUCUUGGGUGACGCACCCCAGAAUCGGGUUCUCUCCUCUCUGGUUCUGGGGUGCGUCACCUGAGAACCGCU